UGGGGAAUAUUGCGCAAUGGGGGAAACCCUGACGCAGCAACGCCGCGUGAAUGAAGAAGGCCUUAGGGUUGUAAAGUUCUGUUUACGGGGACGAUAAUGACGGUACCCGUGGAGGAAGCCACGGCUAACUACGUGCCAGCAGCCGCGGUAAUACGUAGGUGGCAAGCGUUGUCCGGAUUUACUGGGCGUAAAGGAUGCGUAGGCGGAUGUUUAAGUGAGAUGUGAAAUACCCGAGCUCAACUUGGGUGCUGCAUUUCAAACUGGACAUCUAGAGUGCGGGAGAGGAAAGCGGAAUUCCUAGUGUAGCGGUGAAAUGCGUAGAGAUUAGGAAGAACACCAGUGGCGAAGGCGGCUUUCUGGACCGUAACUGACGCUGAGGCAUGAAAGCGUGGGGAGCAAACA
rnacentral:rRNA from 1 species